UAGUCCACGCCGUAAACGGUGAGCACUAGGUGUCGGGUUCGUAGGAAUUCGGUGCCGCAGUUAACGCAUUAAGUGCUCCGCCUGGGGAGUACGCACGCAAGUGUGAAACUCAAAGGAAUUGACGGGGACCCGCACAAGCAGCGGAGCAUGUGGUUUAAUUCGAGGCAACGCGAAGAACCUUACCAGGGCUUGACAUAUCUUUGACCGGUUUAGAGAUAAACCUUCUUCUUCGGAAGCGGAGAU
rnacentral:rRNA from 1 species